rnacentral:rRNA from 1 species
AAGUCGAGCGAACGGACGAGAAGCUUGCUUCUCUGAUGUUAGCGGCGGACGGGUGAGUAACACGUGGAUAACCUACCUAUAAGACUGGGAUAACUUCGGGAAACCGGAGCUAAUACCGGAUAAUAUUUUGAACCGCAUGGUUCAAAAGUGAAAGACGGUCUUGCUGUCACUUAUAGAUGGAUCCGCGCUGCAUUAGCUAGUUGGUAAGGUAACGGCUUACCAAGGCAACGAUGCAUAGCCGACCUGAGAGGGUGAUCGGCCACACUGGAACUGAGACACGGUCCAGACUCCUACGGGAGGCAGCAGUAGGGAAUCUUCCGCAAUGGGCGAAAGCCUGACGGAGCUACGCCGCGUGAGUGAUGAAGGUCUUCGGAUCGUCAAACUCUGUUAUUAGGGAAGAACAUAUGUGUAAGUAACUGUGCACAUCUUGACGGUACCUAAUCAGAAAGCCACGGCUAACUACGUGCCAGCAGCCGCGGUAAUACGUAGGUGGCAAGCGUUAUCCGGAAUUAUUGGGCGUAAAGCGCGCGUAGGCGGUUUUUUAAGUCUGAUGUGAAAGCCCACGGCUCAACCGUGGAGGGUCAUUGGAAACUGGAAAACUUGAGUGCAGAAGAGGAAAGUGGAAUUCCAUGUGUAGCGGUGAAAUGCGCAGAGAUAUGGAGGAACACCAGUGGCGAAGGCGACUUUCUGGUCUGUAA